rnacentral:rRNA from 1 species
GAUGAACGCUGGCGGCGUGCCUAAUACAUGCAAGUCGAGCGAACAGACUAGGAGCUUGCUCCUUUGACGUUAGCGGCGGACGGGUGAGUAACACGUGGGUAACCUACCUAUAAGACUGGGAUAACUUCGGGAAACCGGAGCUAAUACCGGAUAAUAUUUCGAACCGCAUGGUUCGAUAGUGAAAGAUGGCUUUGCUAUCCCUUAUAGAUGUCCCUGCGCCGUAUUAGCUAGUUGGGUAGGGAACGGCUUACCAAGGCAACGAUACAUAGCCCGCCCGAGAGGGUGGACGGGCAAAAUGGGACUGGGACCCGGCCCAAACCUCUUCGGGAAGGAACAAGAAGGGAACCUUGGGAAAAGAGGGAAGUCUUGACGGAGCACGCCGGGGGGGUGGAGGAAGGUCUCCGAUCCGAAAACCUCGUUGAUUGGGAAGGACGUAAGUGGGAAGGGAAUGCGCAUCAAGUGACGGUAACUACUCAGAAAGCCACGGCUAACUACGUG